UACUGUCCAGUGAAGAGGCUGUGCUGCUAGAUUUAAACAGACUCUCAAGCUAUUGCUGUGAUUGACCUUCCAUUUUCUGUCCUGAAAGACAUUCAGGGAAAGAGGAAGAGAUGGCAGUUUCUUGGGGCUCAGUGACCUGUGAAGAUGUAACUGUGAUAUUCACUCAAGAGGAGUGGGCACUAUUAAAUUCUUCAGAGAAGAAACUCUACAGAGAUGUGAUGUGUGAAAAUUUGAGGAACUUUCUUUCAAUAGAAAAGAUACAAGAAAAUUCCACCAAAGGGCAGCAUAUCUUGCAUGGUAAUAAACAAAGGUGAGAGUUACAUUUACAAUAAAGCAUCAUGUACAAC